rnacentral:rRNA from 1 species
GUCUAUGGCCAUGCCACCCUGAAUGUUCUCCAUCUUGUCUGAUCUCGGAAGCUAAGCAGGGUCGGGCCUGGUUAGUACUUGGAUGGGAGACCACCUAGGAAUACCAGGUGCUGUAGGCA